CAAAUUUAGAUAGGAAAUUUAAAAAUUCAAUUCAAAUAAUCUCAUGAAGAAGAAGGUCAUACAUAUCCCAAGUUCUGCAUUAUUCAAGUGCCAAAUAUUGCAUCAAAGGAGGCACAAAUCCUUUUGUUUCCUCCUCCAGCUUUAUUUAUCUAGGUAAAAAAGCUAGCUGAAACUAUUUGGCAAAUCUGACGCAGAUUAAAGUGGGGGGAAACUAAACCCAGUACUUUUGAUAAUUACUGUAGUCAUCUAAAACAUUUACCCAGCUGAACACCACAGUGGUAUUCUUACAGCACACCUGUGCAGGCAGGAUUGUCAAGCUAAACUGGAAUUCAUUUUAUCUCUCCAGUGCAGGUGAAAAUUAAAUGUUAAAACCAGAAAGAAGCAACACAGGUCUUCUGGCUAGCAACCACUCUCUUGAUACAAGAUGACAUGCAGCUGCUCUUAUCAGGGUAUAAGCUGCUGCCAGAGAGAGUCAGGUUUCCUUGUUUGGCAGAAUACUUUUAAUUAAGGCACACCCAUAAAGACUGGAAUGUUGGAGGAUGAUGUUUUUGGGAGCUGCUGCUGCUGCGUGCUUGCUGAACUCAAUCAUUGCUGCAAGACAAGAACAAGAACCCAGGCAAACACAAAAAAUUUAUUUUUUGAUUAUGACCCAUGAAUAAGCAUCACUCAAUACGGGUAGAGGAUGGCCAUUCUCCCAUCUGCUGUUUGAUUUGCUUGUCCUUCCCGUGGAAAACAAACAAACAAACCAACAACAAACAUGCAUGAGUUCAGGAGACCUGGGAGAUCAGACACUGAUUUCACUAUAUGAAGACCUUUUUCUUGAAGUGACAGAAAAGACAACAUGCAUCUCUAAGACCUGUUCAAUCAAAGGGGUGAGUCACCUUUACAUGGGGCCUGGAGCUCUGUGUGUCCCAGGCCAGUGCUGGUAGCAAAAUCUUGAAACAGCAGGCUUAGGAGAGCUGAAAGUACCCUGAAAGACUCCACCAGACUGUUUGCAAUGAAACCCUAUCUUUGUAAAAUGCUAAUCAGAGCCAGCAAAUUUCCAAGCAUCCCAAGAUGAGAAACUCAUCCACCUAGUACUCUGCUGAUGGUCUAGCAGGAGAUCAUUUUCUAAGGGCCACUGUGCCUUAGGACAUCACUCUUCUGACAUCUUAAAGGUACAUAAUAAAAGAAGUUAAUAUGAAGAUAAAUUGUUUGCUGAAAGAAAAAAAAAAGGCAAGAAAGAGAAGAAACAAAAGAAAGAGUGAGCAAAGAGCAGAAGCCUCCUUGAUCUAGCCAUCGCUUGGCUGAAUGGGAGGCACAGGUUCACAUUACACUCCUUUGGAAUGAUAAUCACACCCUUCUUUGAGGCUGACACACCACUGGGAGGAUUAUCUUUGCAGGGCAGCCCAGAUCCUUCUCACUGAUAAAGCUGCUGUAUCUGAAAAGUAUUUGGCAGAACUGUCACCACACACACAAACAGAGGAGCUGACUCUCCUAACCUCAGAGGCUUGGUAUGGGGAGUUGUCUGCAUCAGCUCCUGUGCCCUCCAGAUCAACUCUACAGAUCACCUAUGCAACUUGGAGAAGAAAAUACGGUUUCCUUGGGGAGCUUUGAGGUGGUUUCAUUAAUGGUUUCCAAACCUUUUGAGGUAACAUUUUCAAGGUAACAAGCUUUUUCUUCACCCAUUGCUUUCCCACCCACAUCCACUUCUGAACAUAUAGCUUUCUUCUGUCUCCUUGUGGGCCAAGAAGUCACCAAAAAAAUUUAUUAUUUUUUGCUUUUCUUUCCAAAAUUAAAAGAUACUGCUUCUUCUACCCUUGCAUGAUCAACUGCACUUAUUACUCCUUUUUCUAGACUCCUUAUGAGUUAUGUCACAUAUCAUCAUUUUUCCAGAUACAUUUUCUGUUUAACAUUCCUGUUUAUUGGUAGAGCCAAAGCCAUAACUCAGUACUAUAGGGAAGGUCUUCUCCUUGAGACCUUUCAUCAUGGGUGUAUAAUAACUGAGCAAUUACAUCAAAGAGUUUGGUUUCUGCAUGAUGGCAGUGAUUCCCAGUGUUUACUGGAAUGCUCUAUCUCCACCAGCAGUGGUUACCUUGUAUCUCGAGCAUCAGGGAAAUAAUGCCUGUCUACAUCUACUUGGCUGGCAUGUAUAAGUUUGAAUUUCUUCAAGUAACAUGUGUGCUUUUCUUCAUUUAGGGCUAAAAAGAAUCUGAAGAAAUUAUCCAGUAGAUGUGCUUCACUGGAACUGCUCUGAUCUCUCAAAGAACUCUCUUUAUGGACAAAUAAUGCUUAGGGAUAGAUUUGCCAAACAAUGCUUUUCUUUCCAAGGACCCAUAAAUCUCAGAGUACUUUUGAGAGUAAUAAAUGUUGCAAUAAUGUUGUUCUUGAUUACAGGCAAGACUAUAACAGCUCUGACUGACAUAAUUAUGUUUGAUUACAGACAGGCUCUGUGCGAUGCAAGGGGGUUAUUUGUUGCCUUCUAUCAGUCCUGGAUUACACUGGGUUCCACUGGAGACCAAGAGCACUCCAUGCCACACAGCAUACACAGCUUACUCAGCUGCCUCAGAGCUUUGUCACUAAAGCAAAGCAUUUAAUAGCAGGAGCUGGGAUAGCUGGGUGUGCAAAACCUUUUAUGGAACUGUAAUUAAGCCACUAUGUAACUACAUCAAGUGAGGGCCACUGCCUAAGAGGAUCCUGAAUUUCAGCAGCCCUUGAGGACCUGAUCUUGCAUACUUCAUAGUGUACAGGGGCUAAAGUUACUAAUGCCUUUAUUAGAACACAGUAAGGGCCAAAGUGACAAUGAGAAAUAAACUAUAUCUCUAACAUUGUCCACACUUUCUAUUACUAAAGAAUUUUAAAAAAGGAAAAGCUCCAUUAAGUCAAAUAGCCCUCCCUCUGUCAAUGAACAAUAAAAAAAAAUCAUGCCUUACAAUUUAUUCUCCAGUGCUUUGUUUAUUUGGUAUUAAAUGACUCAUGGAAUAAGGUUUCCACCUCUCCCCGUGGGAGAUUAUUCCAGCUGCUGAGGGCCUACUAGCAGCUCCCUUUCUUUCUUUUUUCUUUUAAUGAUGCUGAAGUUUUGCAUUAUAUUUUCAUUUGGGAUGUAAAAGAGACAAAGGAAUUUCACAUCCCCAAACUUGCUUUAAAAUGCAAUUAAAGCUGUUGACAUAGACUCAGAAAUCCAAGGAAACAUGCAGUUAAAACAGAAAUCCAUCACAUAUUUCACUUAAAUACUGUGCCACCUCAACAGAACACUUUUAAGCUAACUGCACACUUCCUUGCUUUUACAGGUUUGUUCCUUACUGUUAUGUAAAUGCACUUUUAUUGUAUUUAGCAUAUUGCAUUGUAAAUUAGCACUAGGCAAACUCCUAAAGGCUGUUUUAUAGCUGUCACACCAACAAACCACAUUUACAAAUAAAUAUUUGUUUCUACAGGUGAGUAUAUUGCCUACUUGGAAAUUAUAAUUAUUUCCAGCAUUUUGACUCAGUGAUGUGACUCUGCUCUGGUCCCACAACCUGUUGUAUGCACAGAAUGGAACAUUCUUACAAAGAAUACUUUGCUUAUGGAGUAGCAUGCCCUAAAAUUCUUUAAAUGUGUCUCUCUAAUGCAUUUUAUUGUUACUAUUUUUACCAGGCACUGCAAAAUCUAUUUAAAAGGAGAAUAUUCUCCUGCUUUGAAAAUUCAUAGCGUGUUUACCUCCCAGUAGUAGUUGUGGAGUCCACCAUGUCACUCAACAGCAUCCCAUUUGGCUGGGAAAGGAACAGUGAUGAUAAGUUCCAAAUAAAAUUGAGUCCUGUUUGUUGUGCCUAGAAAGAAAGGUCGUGGUGAACAAGGCUUUAUUUGUCAGAAACAGUGAAGUAGGAGAACUAGAGGGGUAGAAGCAACCCAGAAAAGGACUCUCUGAAAUGAAAGUUGAAGUUCCCUAACCCUCAGAUUGGCCUUUUAGACCAGUAUUGUCAAAAUGUACCCUUAUUAAUACCAGUGCUAAUCUGACAGCUAGGACACUGGUAGGGGCAUUCAUGCUUAAUGCAGUUCAAAAAAAAAAAGCAACACAAAGCCAGAUACAGAUCAAAUCAAGAAAUCUUAAUAGAAAGAUGUCAGAGACUCUACUAUCAGAUACUUAUUACUGUUUUAAUGGAUCAUAGUGGCUUCAAAUCUACCUUGUUAGGGGGAUGUUGCUCAUUUAAAAAGUUUAAUAUCAUAGAAAUCAAAGUACUAUACAGUACAUUUGUGCUUUCCUAAUAUCCUUAGCAAGGUAACUGCUCACAUGAAAUGGUGUCUCCUUUCUUUUAUUAUAUUGGUGUGAAUGGUAAUAGAUAUAACAGUAUCAUUAUAUUCAAAAUGCUACUGGCAUUUGCUUACUGUUUCUACCUUUUCCAUUAAAGAUACUACUGCUGUGCAUAAUACACACUAACAAAAAACUCUGAAAACUAUUUUUUUCCUCACAGAUGGUUCUAUGAUGUGGCAUGAAGCUAUUUUAAGGAAUAAUUACUUUUGUUAUGUCAACAUGAAGUGUUGCAUUAUUUUUCUAUUAUUAUUGAUAUCUUUUAGAUAGGGGACUGGUAAGAGAAAUUAUAGUAAAGAACUGCUAGAAGUGUCCAUUACAUUUAACAUGGCAGGUUAUUGGAAUACCAGCCAUUUUACCUGUGUUUCAAUCAGUUUCACUUUGGAGAAUAGCAACCAUACAUACUUGUCCAAAAGUGUCCUCAUACCAAAUGCCAAAAAUGGAAAAGAGGGAAAAUAAACCUGCAAGAUCCCUCAGCUCCUCAUUUGAAAGAACUUGGGCAUAGUCCCAGCAGUGCAAAUCAGACUUUUCCCCAGAUUAUGAAUGGGGGAAGGGAGAAGGAGAUGGUGGCUGAGUCAAGCAGCCAAACUCAGAACAGUAAUGUAGGGCAGGAUUGCUGCCUGCAGGAAACUCAGCUUCCCAUGGGAUAUGGUCUGACAUGGUUAACUUGCCAGUAAAGGAAAGUCUUGAACGGAGUUACCUGUACCAAUGAAUAGAAAGAAAAACUUCAGACUAAAUGCAGAGCUGGAAGGAAGGUUUGGUGAUUUUAGCUGUGUGUUGAAUGUUAGCCUUUAUGUUAAAGCAGAUGCCUUUAUGUUAAAGCAGAUGCCUAAGGAAUAAUUCAAAAGUCCAAAGUGGUUGGCCUAUUUUCCUGAAGAGAAGAGAAUGUCGUAGUAGGUCUGAUUCCAGAUGAGAUAAGACUUUGUUAUAACAAACGUAAUGUUAAUGGGGAGGUUCUGGUUUAAGUGAGUUAUUCAGUAUCACAAAAAGACUUCUGACAGAUAGGAAAAAGAAAGACAAUUAUCCAAAAUGGUAUUCAAAUUUCUUAAGGGAAAAUCUUACAGCUGGCUCUUAUUUUGUAGUUUCCUGGCUUGUUCAUUAUGCAGUCCUCACUGCUAGUGACAAUCCUUUGCACUGAAUGAAAUAAUGUUAACAAUAGCAUUUGACUUAAAAGAAAGUACUAUAAUACCUUCUGGCUGAAAUUUGAGUGUAAACUUGAUUCUGAAAUUUUCUGAAGUUUGUGAGUAUUCAUAAAUACUAAAUUUGACCUAGUAUAAAUACUGUGGGACCAUAGGUCUAACAACACUUUACUUAAUGCAUUUUCCCCCUAUCCAGGAAAAAAAGACAUGGGAAAGAAAAACCUAACACUUGACCACAUGCUUGACCCUAAAUUGGAUAAUCAGAAGUGUUAAGGUAUAAUUUUGUUUGAAGGCAAAAAAAACCAGGCCAAAACCAAAACCAACAUCUCCACAGCUUGAGACAUAUUUUCCAGGAAAAUGGGCUGCUGCUGCUUCAGACUUCUUCAACUCCAGAUAACAGUUGCAUUUCACAUGGGGGCUCUUACUGGAGGUGAUGCUCCCAUUCCUGCGUAGGGAUGCUCCAAGGCCACAGAGGCAAGCCUCUGCUUAAGCCUCAGUUUUGUCAUUUGAGAGCUGCAGUUUGGGUCAUUAGGGGUUGUACUUGUUCUAGUUUUUGGCCACAGAUAAUGCUUUCUGGUCAUCAUCUCUUUCAGAAUAUUACUGGGAUAUAAGUACUUUUUCUUGUUAUUUCUCUCUUCCCAAAUGUAAUAUUCCCAACUGUAUAUUCAUAACAAAUAAGAGAAACACAGGGAAUGGACCUGAACAUACAUGAAGAUAAGUGCACCCUUUCUCAUUACUGUUUUGUGUUAGGUGCUGCAUGAAUACCUCAGAGACACUCACAAAGGACUUGAUUACAACUGGAAUGGGGAAAGGGCAGCAAAGAAAACAUAAAAGGAGAUAAGAGAGACAUAAAAAUGAUGAAACAAGCAGAUAGAUACACUGGGAGCAAAGAAUUGAUGGCAUUACGGCCUGGUAAGGGUAUAGAAACCAAAGUUAUGUCCAGAUUUGAAGAGCUUGCCCUCUCUAAAACCUUCAAGUAGGAGCAAAAUAAGCAUUAGGACUGCAUAGUGUCUAAUGACUGCUUAAAACUUCUCAGUUUCCAUGGCUCAUGGCACUCAUGUAAAUCUGUUUCUGACCUCAAGAGAUGAACCCAUUAUCAAUUGAUAAUAGUA